rnacentral:rRNA from 1 species
GGUAUUGUACAAUGGUGGGAACAGUGAUCCAGCCAUGCGGGGGUGCAGGUAGAAGGCCUUACGGGUUGUAAACUGCUUUUAUACGGGAAGAAUAAUCAUGUCGUGUCGUGGGAUGACGGUACCGUAAGAAUAAGGACCGGCUAACUCCGUGCCAGCAGCCGCGGUAAUACGGAGGGUCCGAGCGUUAUCCGGAAUUAUUGGGUUUAAAGGGUCCGCAGGCGGGCUUAUAAGUCAGGGGUGAAAUGGUGCGGCUCAACCGUAGCACUGCCCUUGAUACUGUUAGUCUUGAGUUAUGGUGGAGUGGCCGGAAUAUGUAGUGUAGCGGUGAAAUGCAUAGAUAUUACAUAGAACACCGAUCGCGAAGGCAGGUCACUAACCAUAUACUGACGCUGAUGGACGAAAGCGUGGGGAGCGAACAGGAUUAGAUACCCUGGUAGUCCAUGCCGUA